rnacentral:lncRNA from 1 species
UCCAUAAAAGAACCUCAGCAACUAAAACCAAAAGCUCACCUUCCCUCACUCUCCAAUGGAAAAUUUCCUUCUUUUUUACAAUAUUAUAUUUCUAUUUCCUCCUCUAUUAAGAGUGUGGAUAAAGCUAUCUAUCUAUUUAGAUUUAAUGCUUUUUUGUCCAUUCGAAUCAUGAUUUGUGAUGAUUUUUUGUCCAUCCAGUCUUUAUUUGUGAUGACUACGUUUAUGUAUUUUUGUUGUGUUUUCUAGUUUAUGUUUUAUCUCUCUAGAUCUGAGUCUAUAUGCUUUAGAUAUGGAAAAAAAUUAGGGGCAACAAUCUGGGUUAGGAUUCGUUUUUCUUCGAUUUGAUCCGAUGCGAAUUAAAUGAGUUUGAAUUUGAAAAAAUUGAUUCGUUUCAUAAAUGAGUGAAUUCAAUUCAAUUUGCUAAAUAAACAAAUUAAAUUAGGGUUUAUUUAUUCGUUAUUCAUUUAGAAUUCAUUUAAUAAGUGGGUGAUAAACGAAUUGAAUGCAGUCCAUUCGUCUAAAAUUCAUUUAAUUAAAUUACUUAUUUGCAUUAAAAAUUUCAAAAUUUAAAGAUUAAUUUAGUAAUUAUUAAGGAUAAUAAGACUACCAAAACUUUAAGCAGAGCUGGUCCUAAUUUUUUUACUUCAUAAUUUCUACUCUUUAUUUCUCUUCUCUCAACCCUCUUUUCUCUUGGUCUCCAUCCUCCAUGGCAAUUUCUUUUUGUUGUGUUUGUAAUUUCUUGUUGUUUGUUGUUUAGAGAAGGUAGUACCAUCUUACCUAAUGGAAAGCUCUUAUUUUUUUUUUUUUUUUUAAUUUUAGAGUUAUGAGUUUAUUUUUUUAUUUUGCCCAGGUAGCUUCCCAACUCUUUCAAGAUUUUACUGGGCAAAUGGAUUUGUUAAAAUGGCACUAGCCGCAAAAAAACUUAUGAAAAUGAACAAGAUUUGAGCAAGAAAGGUAAGGGCCUUUCGGAUUAUAAGCAAUAUAUAUAUAUAUUGCAAUGGGGUUUAUAAAGAAGACAUGAUCAAGCAAACGCAAAAGUGGUGGAGAGUUUGAGUCGAUAAUGUUUUGAGAUCUUUUUUCUUUUCUUAUUUUUUCUCAGCAAGAAGAAUUUGUAAUUUUGUGUUUGGAGACUGUAUUUUUUUAGUUUUAGAAUAUGGUUUGGUUAUUUGUGUUUGUAGGAUGUUAAAUUUAUAGUUUUAAUUUUUGUUUAUUAAGAAAUCAUAUUCAAUUCAAUUUGUAUAGAUUCAUUUAUUA